rnacentral:misc_RNA from 1 species
AUAAAAAAACAAGCGCCAGAGCCCAGCUUGUGCUGGGUUGACGAGGAGAGGGAAGAUCGAAUUUUUCGGCGGAUGCCCUCCGGCCCGGUCACGGCCGCAGCGUAGAA